rnacentral:rRNA from 1 species
CUUUUAUGGAGAGUUUGAUCCUGGCUCAGGACGAACGCUGGCGGCGUGCCUAAUACAUGCAAGU